AAAAAAAUGUUUUCAGCUUUUUGCUGUCUGGGAGCUUAAGAUGAUGUUCCUCUUGUUUUCUUGAGUGUAUCUGGGAAGAUGAGAAUAGGUGAAUUUUGUGAAGGAUAAAUGCUUACAAUUUUUAAAUUCAAAUAAAUGGGGGAAUAACUAAUAGCUGUCCCCCAGUUAUUGUUCGGAUUGUUCUCCCCCUUCAUCCAACUGUCAAAAAAUAAUCCUCUUUAUUAUCCCAUACAUUUAUCCCACCCUAAGAAAACAUAGUAUAACUAAUCCUAUCUACAUACAUAAUCCAUCUACGACUUAUCCUCUCUAAACCUGACCACAGUUUCAUGGUAUCCAAUCCCUCCCCCCAAAAUUAAUCUGGCAAUCAAACGGGGCCAAAGAGAUUUGCAGUGAAUUGUUGACACAAGUUGUUUGCUUUUUGUUCAGGGUUGAGCAAGUUCUUCACUUACUGUUUUGUCUGUGUUGUGGGUGAGAUUUGGUAAUGUUAGCUGGUGUAGGAUUGUUUUUCUUCGUAACUUAUGCAGUUAUGCCAGGUUUUGGCCCCUGUUUUUUAACUACAUCUUUAUUUGAAAAAUAAAAAAGAAUGACUGAGCUGCCAUCCUGGUAUAUCCCAAUUUAUCUGCUUUGAUACAUGUUUGAUUUCAGGCUACCAGAACAAUUAUACUCGUGUUUGCAUGCUGAGACUUGAGACUUAUGUGAUUGCUGACUAGUUUUCUCUGCUUGUCUAUCCCAAUUGUUACUUCUUCAAUGAUAUGUUUGAAGUUUUUACGUCCAGUUUUGCAGACACACUUAAAUCAAGUGGAUUUUCCCUCAAAUUUUCCUUAUCGAGUUCAAGUCCUCAUUGCAUUUGCAUUUGUUGCACAGACACAUCUAGGUUGUCAACGAGUGUGGUCAGGCUGCACCAUAAUAUCAUUGCUGAAAAGAAACUGAUUCAAGUAAGCCAUGCUAGGGAGCUUGCUUGGUCUCUUAUAUUAUAUGUUAGCACAAAGCAACCCAUAGAGUAGCAAGCAUGGUGGCUUGUGAUUUGCAUAUUGUGGCUUUUGUUUAGCUGUAAUUUAAAUUCUAGUUAGUAGUCACCAAGAAGUGCCCACUGAUAAUCCAAUGAAUGAGUCGGUAGUUUAUUUGCAUGAAGAGAAUGGCUUGUGAACUCAUCACUGUGCUUCACUGGGAUUGGAAUCUUGGUGAUUAUUGUUGCCAAUAUCUGUUGUUAUAUCAAUUAGGCUGCCACUGACUUUAUAAUUGCACCUUCUGCUUUGAGGGAGCUAAAUAUAGAUUUUCAGCAAUUGCAAACGGUAACUAAUGUCAUUUGUUCAUUACAGACAAAAGGGUACUUUAUGUUCUGUUCACUUACACAAAAGAAAUAAAAAAAGGGUGCUUUAUGUUCUGUUUCAGUUUGAACUGGUAACUUACCAAUAAAAGUGAAUACAAAUCGUAGAAAUGAACCCACAAAUGUGGUCCUUUUUACAUUACCAAUAGAAAUUCAAGUUGGUACUUGUAAAAUUUAUGGAUGACCUAAAGAAACCAGAGUCCACCGGGCAUUGUCAUAAUGUCCGAAGCAAAGCCAUGACAUGACUGAUCUUCUCAACUGGAUGUGGAAUGCAAUACUGAAUACAAAUGACGGGCCUUUAAAAACUCAAGAGAGUGACUAAAGAAGUAGUGAUGGAAUGUGUAGUUGAUAUGAGUGAUUGGAUAGUGAGGAACUCUCCUCUCUAUGAUGAAAGGCAUAAAAUGGUUUCUGAAGAUCAAAUCCGGGGCAUCUGAAUGUAAUAGGGUUGGAAAGAAGAUACAAUUUUGCUUCUGAUGGUUUGGCAUGAAGAUGUGGUUCUAAAAGCAGUUUUACUCGGUGGAUAAGGGGACCAUGGUUGGCCUCUGUUUCCCAUUAGCCAGAGCUUCAACAACUUAAGAGGAAGCUGAAGUGUGAACCCUGUAAAAUUUGAAUGAAGUUUGGAAGCCUGAAGCUGACAGGUCCGGUGGCUGCCCUGCCCACCAUGCCUUUCAAGUAGU